rnacentral:lncRNA from 1 species
AUGGGCCACCGCCACCACGCCUUCGACGGGAUCGGACCUCCACCACUCCAGCAAGCAGGAGCAUCGUGGUGGUUGCGGUCAAUUGAAAUCUUAGUUUCUUCAUCUUCUUUGAGAUUAUGUUUUGUCUGCAUCUGAUAAUUAGGAUGGCCUCCUUUCUUUCAGGUUUGUACUGUUAAUUAAGAUGAACUUGGGUGUCGAGGAUGAUUUGGAAGAUUAUAUAUCCUGACCAGAUAAAAUCAGUGCUGCCGAUCUGAGUUGAUUUUCUUUUGAUAAAGGGAGCUUUAAUAUGUUAGUUGAUUUGGAAGAUUAUUUCUCUAGACCAGAUAAAAUCAAUGCUGCUGAUUUGAGUUGAUUCGGAAGAUUAUGUCUUCAGACCAGAUAAAAUCAGUGUUGCUGAUGUGAGUGCCUUUCCAUUAUGCUGAACAUUCUUUAUCAUUUGUUCUACUUAAGCAGAAGAAAUUUCAUUGCGUCAACUUAAUUAGAAAAUGAUAAUGAUUCUUUAAAUCCUUUACUCUUAAAAGUUUAUCAUAGUAAAUGUACCUUCAGCUCACCAUACAUUUGUUUCAUAUAUAUUGACAACUAUAAUAGCAGUAGCAAUGCGUGAUUAUGACAUAUGAAAAAGAUUGUUUUACUGUCAAUUUUCAGUAUAUUGUUAGUGACUAAUUAUUUCCUAAUUUUGUUUAGUUUUGUUGGAGAGAAUAUGUAAGGCUAAUGUUUGAGCAGGAGAGUGACAAGAUGCAAGAGUGAUACAUCCAAGCACUUGAUUUGAGUCAAACUUGGUUUGCUGUACAGAAUUCCACCGUAUUUGUCCACACAAAUAGUUCUUCAUAUUUAGUCAAAAUUGUUUUUCUCCAUAGUUCAGUGUCUACAUCUUUAUUCUCCGAAUAUAGUCAUACUCUCCAUUUUAUAAAGUGCAAAUGUACUUCGGCCAAUUGAUUUUAGUAGUCCUCCUGUUUGUACAGUAUGGAUGAAAUUUGACCUACCAGUAUACCUAUAAAGAUAUUAAGAUUGGAUACUUAAAAAUCCUAUACGAACUUUUGUCUUCAACAUGAUUUCACAAUAUAUAGUUUUAUGACAUUUCGGUAAAUAUAUUCAAGUAAAAUAUUGGUGGUUAAAGCCGGAUUAUGGAGAUCUUACCAAAACAAACAACUACUAGGAACUAGAUCAAUGUGUAUUUGCAAGUCAAGCUCAGCUUAUAGUGAUUGUGAAGUGAGAUUGAAUGCAUUUUGGCGAUGAAAUCACGUAGGAUCAAAGCGGAGGUGCCUACUUUCUACCAAGAAAUUGCAUCUUCAUCAAAUGUUUAUGUCUUCCUUUCUUCCUUGACAAUAUGAAUCUGAAUACUACUUUCUUUUCCUGGAUGUAGUUUCCACUAUAGUAUAUAGCUACCUUCCAUGUCUUUUGUGAACCCAGUUUGUAGUGUGCCACUCUGAAGCUGAAUUCUUCUUGUGUACCCAGUUUGUAGUGUGCCACUCUGAAGCUGAAUUCUUCCUGGGUGUAUCAUGCACCUGUGUCUUCUUGUUGUAUAUUCUCAAGUCUCAACUGCAGAUUCUCAAAGGCUUUGGACACCACUUGGACCUACAACAAAGAUUUGGACUAUUUAAUUUAGUGACAUUGAUCAUAGCCGCCUGCUGGUUUUCUUCACUCCCCAGCUCUAGAUUUUGGCGUACACG